rnacentral:rRNA from 1 species
AAUGGACAGAGAACUUGUUCGAAGAAAAUUGAAAUUGACUUACAACAAUGGCUUUAGUGGCGGACUGGUGAGUAACGCGUGAGCAACCUGCCUAUUAGAGGGGAAUAACAGUGAGAAAUCAUUGCUAAUACCGCAUAUGCCAUAGGUACCACAUGGUACUAGUGGGAAAGGAGUAAUCCACUAAUAGAUGGGCUCGCGUCUGAUUAGAUAGUUGGUGGGGUAACGGCCUACCAAGUCGACGAUCAGUAGCCGGACUGAGAGGUUGAACGGCCACAUUGGGACUGAGAUACGGCCCAGACUCCUACGGGAGGCAGCAGUCGGGAAUAUUGCGCAAUGGAGGAAACUCUGACGCAGUGACGCCGCGUAUAGGACGAAGGUCUUCGGAUUGUAAACUAUUGUCGUUAGGGAAGAGAAAGGACAGUACCUAAGGAGGAAGCUCCGGCUAACUACGUGCCAGCAGCCGCGGUAAUACGUAGGGAGCGAGCGUUAUCCGGAUUUAUUGGGUGUAAAGGGUGCGUAGACGGGAAUUUAAGUUAGUUGUGGAAUCCCUCGGCUCAACUGAGGAACUGCAACUAAAACUGGAUUUCUUGAGUGCUGGAGAGGAAAGCGGAAUUCCUAGUGUAGCGGUGAAAUGCGUAGAUAUUAGGAGGAACACCAGUGGCGAAGGCGGCUUUCUGGACAGUAACUGACGUUGAGGCACGAAAGUGUGGGGAGCAAACAG